rnacentral:rRNA from 1 species
ACGGGUGAGUAACGCGUGGGAAUCUACCCAUCUCUGCGGAAUAGCUCUGGGAAACUGGAAUUAAUACCGCAUACGCCCUACGGGGGAAAGAUUUAUCGGGGAUGGAUGAGCCCGCGUUGGAUUAGCUAGUUGGUGGGGUAAAGGCCUACCAAGGCGACGAUCCAUAGCUGGUCUGAGAGGAUGAUCAGCCACAUUGGGACUGAGACACGGCCCAAACUCCUACGGGAGGCAGCAGUGGGGAAUAUUGGACAAUGGGCGCAAGCCUAAUCCAGCCAUGCCGCGUGAGUGAUGAAGGCCUUAGGGUUGUAAAGCUCUUUCACCGAUGAAGAUAAUGACGGUAGUCGGAGAAGAAGCCCCGGCUAACUUCGUGCCAGCAGCCGCGGUAAUACGAAGGGGGCUAGCGUUGUUCGGAAUUACUGGGCGUAAAGCGCACGUAGGCGGAUAUUUAAGUCAGGGGUGAAAUCCCGCAGCUCAACUGCGGAACUGCCUUUGAUACUGGGUAUCUUGAGUAUGGAAGAGGUAAGUGGAAUUCCGAGUGUAGAGGUGAAAUUCGUAGA